rnacentral:rRNA from 1 species
AGUCUUUUGUAUUUUUAUUAAAGAUGUUUUCUGCUCAAUGAUGUAUAAAUAGCCGCGGUAAUUUGACCGUGCAAAGGUAGCAUAAUCAUUUGCCCUAUAAUUGAGGGCUAGAAUGAAUGGAGUGACAAGGCAUCUGCUUUAUUUUGAAAAAUAAAAUAAUUUGCUUUUCUAGUGAAGAAGCUAGAAUUAAUUUGAGGGACAAGAAGACCCUUUUGAGCUUUAUUAAUUACUUUUUUUAUAGAUGUAAUUAAUUUGGUUGGGGCGACCGAGGAAGGGAGAAUCUUCCUUUUUUACUUUGAUCCGGGGUUUCCGAUCGAUGGAAUAAGCUACCAAAGGGAUAACAGCGUAAUUUUUUUUGUGAGUUCUUAUUAAAAAAAAAGAUUGCGACCUCGAUGUUGACUUAUGGUCUCCUUUCGGUGUAGCAGCUGUUAGGGUGGGUCUGUUCGACCUUUAAAGCCUU